GAGGCCUCACACCCGGGAAGUCAGAAGCCACGCAUGUGCACAGGAGCGCUCAGCGUCAUGCCACCAUCUUAUUUAAGGGAAGCACAAUGCCCAGCCUGUAAUGGGGAAGAAUUUAAUUGGGGACAAGUCAAUUCUUUCUGCAGAAUCCUUUCGGAAAUGCAUUGCGGGCAAUGGAGACACCGUCUGACCAUGUGGUCCUAGUGCCGGUAAGAAAGAAUGGAGCACUUUCCAUAUGUUGUCAAGUAAAAUCUCCUUUAUUCCAGGAUAAACAUAGACGUCUCAGGUACAGCAAAGCAGCAAGCAUUGUUUCUAACCCGAAGAAUGAAGUCAUAUACUUUGUACUUGUACUUGUAGUGGAAUACUAUGUAAGGACCAGACCAGGGGCCGAUUGACCGGCCGGUCCAUUCGGCCGUGGUCCAAAGGUCCGGCCAGGUGAAGGGCCCGCAGCAGCUGCUGAGGAUUCAGGACACUUGUCCCGGAUCUCCAGUCAGACAAGAGCUACUUUCAGGUGAUGUCUUUCUCUAUAUAAAUAUCCCUGGAUGAAGAGGACCUGAUUGUUGGCUCCGCCCCCAGCACAGGAAGAGGGGGGUCCGAGAGCUGACAGGCCUCCCGGGAACACAGCGCAGCCGCUUCAUGUGAGGAUUAAAGCAUAAGAUGAAAAGAAUCUUUGGAAACCAAAACUUACCGCGUUCACACCGAGCUGCAAAAUCAAUCAACUAUAGUUAUUAUCACUUCAAAACAGCCUAUAGGACAUAAUUCUGGAGGUAAGGUUCCUUCUAAGGAGAAGAGAAAGAGUGCAAAAAAGAUGCGGA